rnacentral:rRNA from 1 species
GACGAACGCUGGCGGCGUGCUUAACACAUGCAAGUCGAACGAAGUGGCGAACGGGUGAGUAAUACGUGGGUAACCUGCCCUCCUUUUUGGGAUAAGCCUUGGAAACGGGGUCUAAUACCGAAUAAAGGGGGAUGGGCUCGCGGCCUAUCAGCUUGUUGUUGGGGUGAUGGCCUACCAAGGCGGGGACGGUUAGCCGGCCUGCCAGGGUGACUGGGAACAAUGGGACUGAGAGACGGACCAGACACCUACGAGAGGGGGAAGGGGGGGAUAGUGCGCAAGGGGCGAAAGCCUGAGGCAGCGACGUCGAGUGGGGGGUGAAGGCUUACGGGUUGUAAACCUCUGUCGCUACGGAAAGGGUAGGUGGAGAGGAAGCGCCGGCUAACUACGUGCCAGCAGCCGCGGUAAUAC